GUUUACAGGCAUGUCACCCUGAACAAGCCUGAUCCCGUUUGAUCUCGGAAGCUAAGCAGCGUCAGGUUAGUACUUGGAUGGGAGACCACCUAGUAAGAC
rnacentral:rRNA from 1 species